rnacentral:rRNA from 1 species
CCACUGUUACUUUGAAAAAAUUAGAGUGCUCAAAGUAGGCCUGCAGUCUGGAUACAUUAACAUAGGAUAACAUCAUAGGAUUCGGAUCCUAUUAUGUUGGCCUUCAGGAUUAGAGUAAUGAUUAAAAGGGACAGUUGGGAGCAUUCGCAUUUCAUAGCCAUAGGUGAAAUUCUUGGAUUUAUGAAAGACAAACAAUUGCGACAACAUUUGCCAAGGAUGUUUUCAUUAAUCAAGAACAAAAGUUUGGGGCUCGACGAUGAUCAGAUACCGUCCUAGUCUCAACCAUAAAGGAUUCUACUUGGGAUUGGUGGAUCUUGGUGUUAGGAUGCUGCCAGCACCUUAAGGGAAAUCAAAGUUUUUGGAUUCCAGGGGGAGUAUGGUCGUAAGGCUUAAACUUAAAGGAAUUGACGGAAAGGCACCACCAGGAGUGGAGCCUGUGGCUUAAUCUGACUUAAGAUGGGGAAACUUACCAUGUUUAGACAUAGUGAGGAUCGAUAGACUGAGAGCUCUUUCUUGAUUCUAUGGGCGGUGGUGCAUGGUCGUUCUUAGUUAGUGGAGCGAUUUGUCUGGUUAACUCUGAUAACGAACGAGAUCUCACCCUACUAACUAGCUAUGUGCAGGUAACCUUUCACAGCUAGCUUCUCAGAGGGACUAUGGCCUUUUAGGCCAUGAAAGUUUGAGGCAAUAACAGGUUUGUGAUCCCUUAGAUGUUUUGGGUCGCACCCACACUGCACUGACUUGUUCAAUGAGUCUACAGGCUUGGCCGAUAGGCCUGGGUAAUCUUUGAAAUUUCAUGGUGAUGGGGAUAGAUCAUUGCAAUUGUUGGUCUUCAACGAUGAAUUCCUAGUAAGAGUGAGUCAUCAUCUUAGGUUGACUAUGUCCAUGCCCUUUGUACACAUUGCCUGCCACUCCUACCGAUUGAAUGGUCCGGUGGAGUGUUCGAAUCACGGUGAUAUGGGCGGUUCACCACCGGCGACGUCACGAGAAGUCCACUGUACCUUAUUAUAUAGUGGAAAGAGAACUUGUAACAAGGUUUCCGUAGGUGAACCUCUGGAAG